rnacentral:rRNA from 1 species
UACAGAGGUGGCAAGCGUUGUUCGGAAUUACUGGGCGUAAAGGGCGCGUAGGCGGCCAACUAAGUCAGACGUGAAAUCCCCUCGGCUUAACCGGGGGAACUGCGUCUGAUACUGGAUGGCUUGAGUGUGGGAGAGGGAUGCGGAAUUCCAGGUGUAGCGGUGAAAUGCGUAGAUAUCUGGAGGAACAUCGGUGGCGAAGG